rnacentral:rRNA from 1 species
AUUGAACGCUGGCGGAAUGCUUUACGCAUGCAAGUCGAGCGGCAGCGCGGGGGCAACCCUGGCGGCGAGCGGCGAACGGGUGAGUAACAUAUCGGAACGUACCCAGUCGUGGGGGAUAACUAUCCGAAAGGAUAGCUAAUACCGCAUACGUCCUGAGGGAGAAAGCGGGGAUCGCAAGACCUCGCGCGAUUGGAGCGGCCGAUAUCGGAUUAGCUAGUUGGUGGGGUAAAGGCUCACCAAGGCGACGAUCCGUAGCGGGUCUGAGAGGACGACCCGCCACACUGGAACUGAGACACGGUCCAGACUCCUACGGGAGGCAGCAGUGGGGAAUUUUGGACAAUGGGGGCAACCCUGAUCCAGCCAUUCCGCGUGAGUGAAGAAGGCCU